CGGCUCCGCGGCCUCUCCUGAGCCAGGCGCCCCGCCGCUGUGGGCAGCGGGCUCCACGCGAGCUCGGCGGCUCCGGGCGUGGGGGGGAAGCGGGGAGAGCCCCUCGCCGGGGGAGGCCGCAGAUCCCCGGCCUCGCGUAGGCUCCCUUCCCGGCUAAGCCAAGAGGGUGCUUUCAAUGAGCACUGGCAGCAACAGACCAGGCGCAGAGGGAGGAAACGGAGCUGAUGCAUAAGGAUGAUCAGCAUGAAUCCACUUUCCCUGCUUUCCUCUUAACUCCCUGUGGCGUGAAGGGAAAAUUCCUCUCCAUCUCCACCCAGAGGGAAUUCCUCCCUCUUCCUGAGCAACAAGGGACCUUGUUUGCAAAGACAGUCUCCUCUUCCCCAGGGAAUGACUCCCUCCCCGUGAGGAGCAAAGGGGCCUGUAGGGAAGGGUUCAUACACAGAACAUCCCCAACCUCCCAAUCAUUGCGCCUCUGAGGAAUUGAGAAAAAGACAUCAGAAAACAAGAAUGCCUCCACCCCGCUUUGCCGUUUCUUAAAUCUUUUUGACAAGCUUCUGAUUAAAUAUGGAUAUUGCACAUAAAAAGCAGGCUGCGCGGUCGAAGAAAACUAAAAGUGACUUUAUGUUAACUGUAGUCUUUCCUUGCACUUUUAAAGCCAGGGGCUUGUUCUUGCAAUUGCCUCUUGCUAAACUCCCACAUUAAAAGGACUUAGUCUGGUUA